rnacentral:rRNA from 1 species
UACGUAGGUGGCAAGCGUUGUCCGGAAUUACUGGGUGUAAAGGGAGCGCAGGCGGGAAGCCAAGUCAGCUGUGAAAACUACGGGCUUAACUUGUAGACUGCAGUUGAAACUGGUUUUCUUGAGUGAAGUAGAGGUUGGCGGAAUUCCGAGUGUAGCGGUGAAAUGCGUAGAUAUUCGGAGAAACACCGGUGGCGAAAGCGGCUCUCUGGCCUGUAACUGACACUGAGGCUCGAAAGCGUGGGGAGCAAACAGG